UACGUAGGGGGCGAGCGUUGUCCGGAUUUAUUGGGCGUAAAGAGCGUGUAGGCGGCCAGGUAGGUCUGCUGUGAAAACUCGAGGCUCAACCUCGAGACGUCGGCGGAAACCAUCUGGCUAGAGUCCGGAAGAGGAGAGUGGAAUUCCUGGUGUAGCGGUGAAAUGCGCAGAUAUCAGGAAGAACACCCGUGGCGAAGGCGGCUCUCUGGGACGGUACUGACGCUGAGACGCGAAAGCGUGGGUAGCGAACAGG
rnacentral:rRNA from 1 species